rnacentral:rRNA from 1 species
GUAUGGYAUUGGCUUACCGUGGCAGUGACGGUUAACGGGGGAUUAGGGUUCGAUUCCGGAGAGGGAGCCUGAGAAACGGCUACCACAUCUAAGGAAGGCAGCAGGCGCGCAAAUUACCCAAUUCUAACAGCAUAAGAGAGGUAGUGACAAGAAAUAACAAUACAAGGCAGUUAAAAUGCUUUGUAAUUGGAAUGAUAGAAAUUUAAACACUUUUUAAAGUAUCAAUUGGAGGGCAAGUCUGGUGCCAGCAGCCGCGGUAAUUCCAGCUCCAAUAGCGUAUAUUAAAAUUGUUGCAGUUAAAAAGCUCGUAGUUGAAUUUCUGCUAAAAAUAACCGGUGUGCUUUUUUAAUAAAAGUGAUAUCUUGGUGUGUUUUUAGCAAUAAUGUCCUUUGAGGUGUUUUUUACUUUAUUGUAAAAAACAAUUUUUCAGGAUUUUUACUUUGAGAAAAUUAGAGUGUUUCAAGCAGGCUAACGUUUUGAAUACUGCAGCAUGGAAUAAUAAAAUAGGAUUUUGGUUCUACAUUAUUGGUUUUAAGAACUAAAUUAAUGAUUGAUAGGSACAGUUGGGGGCAUUUGUAUUUAACU